GACGUAGGGCGCGAGCGUUUGUCCGGAUUUAUUGGGCGUAAAGAGCUCGUAGGCGGCUUGUCGCGUCGAAUGUGAAAUCUCAGGGCUCAACUCUGACAUCGCAUUCGAUACGGGCAGGCUAGAGUUCGGUAGGGGAGACUGGAAUUCCUGGUGUAGCGGUGAAAUGCGCAGAUAUCAGGAGGAACACCGGUGGCGAAGGCGGGUCUCUGGGCCGAUGACUGACGCUGGAGGAGCGAAAGCGUGGGGAGCGAACAGGA
rnacentral:rRNA from 1 species